CCGCCGCUCCUCUGCCUCCCGCCGCCCGUCCCCGCCCCGCUCCGUUCCCCGUCCCGCUCCGCGUGCGGCCGGGCGGCAGCAGCACGGGCGCCGCCCGCCCCCGCCUCCCUCUCCUCCCCGCGGCCGGGGCUCGGGAUAGGAGGAGUUGGAGGAAGAGGAAGAUGACGAGCGGGCGCGAUUAGCCCAACGAGGGACGGGUGGCGGCGGCUCCGCGCCGGGACUGACACCUCCGCUCUCUCUCCCGCUCCAGCCAUGAAGGCGGGCGCCGGGGAGCGCCGCUGAAGCCCGGCCCGGCCGCUGCCCCAUGGCCGCUGCGUGACGGGGGCCGAGCCCGCACCCCCGGCGGGGCCGCCCCGGGAUCGGCGUCGUCGUCGCGACCGCCGCGCUGGGUGUGUGCGAGCGGCUCCGGCGCUGCUUCCCCGCUCCUUUCCCCUCCUCGAUGCGGGCUCCAGAGGAUUUGCACCUCCUUCGUAACCGGGAAUGAAAUAAUGGCGACUCGGUGGGCAGCGGGGCCACCCGGCGGAGAUGGAGACACCGAGCCCCCCCCGGGCGGCGGCGGCCAGGCAUCAAAAAAUAAAGAUGGAAAAGAGCAAAGUGAAGCUAUAUCACCAUCAGAGGAAGAAGAAGCUUUCUCUUGGCCUGGUCCAAAAACUGUUGUGUUAAGGAGGACAUCUCAGGGUUUUGGCUUCACCUUAAGACACUUCAUAGUUUACCCUCCAGAAUCUGCAGUUCAAUUUUCUUUUAAAGAUGAAGAGAAUGGAAAUAGACAAGGAAAACAAAGAAAUAGACUGGAGCCUAUGGAUACCAUAUUUGUUAAACAAGUGAAAGAAGGUGGACCUGCUUUUGAAGCUGGACUGUGCACAGGUGACAGAAUUAUAAAAGUCAAUGGAGAAAGUGUUAUUGGAAAGACAUAUUCUCAAGUCAUUGCUUUAAUACAGAACAGUGACAGCAUGUUGGAACUCAGUGUUAUGCCAAAAGACGAGGACAUCCUUCAAUUGGCUUAUUCCCAAGAUGCCUACCUGAAAGGCAAUGAAGCUUACAGUGGUAAUGCCCACAACAUACCUGAACCACCACCAAUAUGUUAUCCACGCCUGACGUCUACCACUUCUGUUGUGGCACAAGCUGGUGACAAGCUAUCUUCUGAUUUCUCACUGGGGAAACAGCAAGUCAGCAGACCAGUACGGGCAUUGACACAGCCAGAGAGGGCUUACAGAAUGGAAAUACAAGUGCCUCCGUCACCAACAGACAUUGCAAAAUCAAAUACAGCGGUGUGUGUUUGCAAUGAAACUGUAAGGACUGUUAUUGUGCCUUCUGAGAAGGCUGUAGAUUUGCCAUCUUGCAGAAAUAAUCAUGCUGGUCCGUCACACAGGACAGAAGAAAUAAGAUAUGGCUUAAAAGAUCAAACCGCUCUAAAAGCACGAACCACAUCACCAUCUUCUUCAGUGUCCACUGCCAUUGUACUUCCACAGACACCAUUAACAAGGCCAGGUGAUCCAAAUGGAACAGUGAUUAAGGCUUCAAAUUAUGUAGUAUGUCCGGAAGGAAUCCCGAGCACUAGGUCUUCUGUUCAAGCCACGGACUCUCCCUCUAUCUCUACAAAUCAUUACAGUUCUCCAUCCUCACACCAGCACAUAGACUGGAAGAACUAUAAAACCUACAAAGAAUAUGUUGAUAACAGGCGCAUGCACAUGUAUGGCUCCCGAACGAUACAGGAAAGAUUAGAUAGUUUAAGAGCAGCUUCUCAGAAUACAACUGAUUAUAAUCAAGUGGUGCCAAAUCGCACUGCUUCACAGGUACGACGCAGGAGCACCUCUCAUGACAGGGUUCCACAAUCUGCACAGAUCCGGCAGCGAAGUGUAUCCCAGGAACGACUUGAAGAUCCUGUGUUGAUGAAAGAGUGGCCACGAAGUGCUUCACAAGAUACACUGACUUCACCUUCAAUUAGUUCUAGGAAUCACAGGGCUCGGUCAUGGGAUUAUCUCAGCAAACAGGGUGAAAUGCUAGAAAAUUUUCAUUCAGAGAAUCUGAUAGCAGACUCAAAUGGAGAUAGGAGAAAGGCUUACAAGUGGACAGGGUUUUCUGAACAAGAUGAUCGGCGAGGUAUUUAUGAGAGACCUAGACAGCAUGCAUUUCAUAUGUCCCUUCGAGGUCAAAAUUUUCCUUUGGCUCCAAGUGGUUAUAUUUCAGAUGGUAGGAGAGUAGGCAGUAGAGCUUCUCUGCCUGGUUCUCAUUUUCAGAAAGUUUCACCAGAUAUGAGAAUGUUGCAGCCUUCUCGAGACUUGCAAACUCCUGGGGGAAUUUCAAAACCUACGGCUGUUUCACAAGAAAGGACAUCUCUCACAACAGCCAGAAGUUCUAAAAGUAGCUCUUUGAAGAACUCCUCCUAUGCAGCAAAACCAUCAUUUCCCCUUAACCAGAGCUUGGAUGUUGUUGCCAGCAAAGACCAAAGAACUGUAAAUCAUUUGCAUCAGAGUAGCCUGUUAAACCAACAGUCAAGGACCCGAGGAGAAGAUGCUCCAGAUCACAGAACAGAAAUGGGCAAAACCAUGCAACCCUCCUCUUUGUCUCCAACCUCUGCCAAACUUGUUCAACAAGCAAGUGAGAGUUCAACUACCUCUGAUAAUACAGGUGUUUCCAUCAGAAAAAGAAGUCAUGAUUUUGAAAGAGAAAACACCCAUGAGCCUGAAAUUCUGCAAACAGAUGUUCAAGGAAAUGACAAAGAUGCAGUUGUCAUGCGGGACAAAUCACCUUCUGGCCACCAAACUCCACAGCCUUUGAGGCAUCAGUCCUACAUUCUUGCAGUCAAUGAUCAAGAGGCAGCCUCAGAUACCACCUGUUGGUUACCUAAUGAUGCUCGGAGGGAAGUCCACAUAAAACGGAUAGAAGAAAGGAAAGCAUCAGGUUCCACCCCACCUGGUGAUUCCUUGGCUUCUAUUCCAUUUAUUGAUGAACCGACUAGUCCUAGUAUUGACCAUGAUAUUGCACACAUUCCUGCUUCUGCUGUUAUUUCUGCAUCUGCUUCUCAAGCACCUGCUAUAACAACUGUUCCUCCCAGUCCUACAUCUCCAAUUCCUUUAAUUCGGCGACAGCUUUCUCAUGAUCAUGAAUCCAUUAGGCCCAGUGUCCUGGAUAGCCAGCCUGCCACAAAACCAGAGAGAUCAAAGUCAUAUGAUGAAGGACUGGAUGACUAUAGAGAUGAGGAAAAAUCGUCCAUUAAGCAUGUAUCUAGCUUAAAGGGGAUCAAGGUCACAGACAGUCAGAAAUCUUCCGAAGAUUCUGGUUCCCGAAAAGAUUCUUCUUCAGAGGUCUUUGGUGAUGCCUCCAAAGAAGGGUGGCUCCAUUUUCGUCAGCUUGUUACAGACAAAGGAAAGCGAGUUGGUGGGAGCAUUCGGCCAUGGAAACAAUUAUAUGUUGUUCUUCGAGGUCAUUCACUUUAUUUGUACAAGGAUAAAAAGGAGCAAAUGACCCCAUCAGAAGAAGAACAACCUAUAAGCAUCAAUGCUUGUUUGAUAGACAUCUCAUACUGCGAAACCAAGAGGAAAAAUGUAUUCAGACUCACCACAUCAGACUGCGAGUAUCUGUUUCAAGCUGAGGACAGAGAUAAUAUGUUAGCAUGGAUUAAAGCAAUACAAGAAAACAGCAACUUAAAUGAUGAGGACACUGGUGUCACUAGUAGAGACCUAAUUAGCCGAAGGAUUAAAGAAUACAGUACAAUGAUGAGUUCUUCAAGCAGCAAAACAGAGCCAUCUCCCAAAACACCUCGUCAGAGCCUAAGUAUCAGGCAGACUCUGCUUGGAACUAAAGCAGAUCAGAGGACCCAGAGUCCACAUUCUCCCAAGGAUGAAUCGGAGAGGAAGCUUCUCACUAAAGAUGAGACAAGCCCACCUAAAGACAAGGGGACAUGGAGGAAAGGCAUUCCAAGCAUUAUGAGGAAGACUUUUGAAAAGAAGCCAUCUGCAGUAGGAACAUUUGGUGUCAGACUAGAUGACUGCCCCCCAGCACAUACCAACAAAUAUAUCCCAUUGAUUGUUGAUAUAUGCUGCAAACUAGUUGAAGAAAGAGGUCUUGAGUACACAGGUAUUUACAGAGUUCCUGGAAAUAAUGCUGCCAUCUCCAGUAUGCAAGAGGAGCUCAACAAAGGAAUGACUGACAUAGAUGUUCAUGAUGAUAAAUGGCGAGACUUGAAUGUCAUAAGCAGUUUGCUGAAAUCUUUCUUCAGAAAGCUCCCAGAACCCCUUUUCACCAAUGACAAAUAUGCAGAUUUUAUAGAUGCCAAUAGAAAAGAAGAUCCAGUUGAACGUUUGAAAACGCUGAAGAGACUGAUUCAUGAUUUACCUGAGCAUCAUUAUGAGACACUCAAAUUUCUUUCUGCGCAUCUCAAGACAGUAGCAGAGAACUCUGAAAAGAACAAGAUGGAACCAAGAAACCUGGCAAUAGUGUUUGGUCCAACGCUUGUGAGGACAUCCGAUGAUAACAUGACACACAUGGUUACCCACAUGCCAGACCAGUAUAAAAUUGUAGAAACACUCAUCCAAAAACAUGACUGGUUUUUCACAGAAGAUGAUGCUGAAGAACCCCUUACAGCAGUACAGGAGGAAAACACUGUAGAAUCUCAGCCAGUGCCAAACAUAGAUCAUUUACUCACCAACAUUGGAAGAACGGGAGUGUCUCCUGGAGACGUAUCAGAUUCAGCUACUAGUGACUCAACAAAAUCUAAGGGUUCUUGGGGUUCUGGAAAGGAUCAGUAUAGCAAGGAACUGCUUGUGUCCUCCAUUUUUGCAGCAGCUAGUCGCAAGCGGAAAAAAACAAAAGAGAAACCGCAACCGAGUAGCUCAGAAGAUGAGUUGGAUAAUGUGUUUUCCAAGAAGGAGCUUGCAGAACAAUCUCGGGGUGACGCAGCAAAAGAGGACACAGCUAAAGGGGAAUAUGAAAAAGAAAGAGAUGCAGGGAGAAAACAGAGGAUGUUUGUCCUGAAGGAAAAAGAGAACAGCAGUAAAAAAGAUGUGAAUGUUGUAAAGGAUGAAAAGAAGUCGUUAAGGAAAGAGAGCGUCCUGUCAGAGGAACCUUCACUGCCUUACCAUGAAAAACGUACAAAAUCACAAAGUCUCAGUUGUCAGCAAACUGCGCAGAAGGAUAACCCUAAAAUGCCCAUUUCCCAGUCUUCUUCCCAGGUUGAAGAGACGGUGUCUGACUCUGGCACUAUGCUUAGCACUUCCUCUCAGGCUUCCCAGCACAGAUAUUCGUGCAAAAAGGUAGCCAGCCCUGAAAUUAAACACAGUGAGUUUUUAGCAGCUGAUGUCAGUUCCAUCACCUCAGAUUAUUCAACAACUUCAUCCUCUAUAUAUAUAACUGGCUUAGACGCCAGUAUGCUGAGCCCUGAAGUGCAGUCAGUAACAGAAAGCAAGGGAGAAGAUGCUGAUGAUGAAAGAAGUGAGCUGAUCAGCGAAGGGCGUCCUAUGGAGACAGACAGCGAGAGUGACUUCCCUGUCUUUGCCACCAGCUCUGCUGCUGAAAGGCUGUCCAAGGGGAAAGUUUCUGAAGUGUUUAAGAGCAGUCGGAGGAACUCUGAGGAAAGCGAAGUAAGUUGUACUGAGGGAAGUUCAACACCAAAGUUAGAGAGUCGCAGACUUUUUAGCUCACACAAACUUAUUGAAUGCGAUACGCUGUCCAGGAGAAAGUCUGCACGGCACAAAACGGACAGUGAGGGUUCUGGGGAUGCGAAGAGUGAGAAGGACUUACCUACUGUGACCAAAAUGUUUGAUAUAAUGAAAAAAGGAAGAUCGACAAGCAGUUUAGCUACGUCAGCCAGAAGUGAGACUGACAAACAAGAACCUACCUGGAGACUAAAAAUUACAGAUAGGUUAAAGCUGCGGCUCAAAUCAUCUGCAGAUGACAUGUUCGGAGUUGGGAAUCAAAAGGCUAACUCUGCCGAGACGGUGAAGAGGAAAAAUAUCAGGCGAAGGCAUACGCUUGGAGGACAGAGGGAUUUUGAUGAAAUAAGUGUCCUGAAUGUUUGGAAAGUUCAAGAGCCGAGUCAUAGUAGAGAGAGAGAAUCUGAGCUUUCAGCUGUGAAUCGUCUGAAGCCAAAAUGUCCAGCCCAGGACCUCUCAAUCUCAGACUGGCUUGCACGAGAACGUUUACGCACUAGCACAACUGACCUUAAUACGGGUGAAACUGGAAAGCCCAGACUUGAGAACACUAGCUUAGCAGAUGCAUCAAAGGUAGAUCUGCCUCUAUCUGCUGAGAUGCAAGCAGAUGAAGGCAGUUCCUCCAGCAGCUUGACUUCAAUCAGUAGAACACCACCUUCGGGACCAUUUCAGCCACCAGACCAGACUUAAAAUGCCCGUUCCUUUAGCACAAGCAGGCGAAUGGUACAGUAGCAGCAUUUGCAUGACUUGUAGGCUGAAGCAGGGAGGCUAACGUGGUUUCCACCAGACAAUGAGUUUAUUCCAAGACGACUGUGGCGACCCAGACGGAGGGACUGCUCAAAAAUGUGGCUGUUCAGGUCUCUGGCUGCUGGGACUGCUUGAGCCUGCUGCUACCUGGGGAAGGUGGCAGGGAUUCCACCUGCCUGAGGUGUGAGCAGGUGGGUGAAUUGAUCCAGCUGGUGGUUGAGCUCAAGGAAGAGGUCCCAGAGACUUAGGACUAUCAGGGAAUGUGAGAGGGAGACAGACUGGUGGAGUGACUCGCUGGCAUGUCAGAGGAAAGGGUGCCAGGGAGACACCCUCACAAAAGUGGUGGACCCCCAGCCCUGUCAGAGUAGGACAGACCUGACUGAUGAGGAGGGUUGGAUGAGAGUCCCUACUUGAUGUCAUGGGAACACCCCCCGCCUGCCUGCCCCGCUUCCCCAGAUCCCCCUUAGCAACAGGUUUCACAUGCUGGAAAUUGAAGGUGAGGUGAGUGAUGAGGUGAUGGAGGAGUUGCUGAGUAGGGAGAGGCAGCCACCCCAAGACUGCCUGUGUCAGGAAAGAAAGAAGGGUGGUCAUGGUGGGUGACUCCCUUCUCAGAGGAACGGAGGGCCCCAUAUACAGACCAGACCCAAGCCGCCGAGAAGUGUGCUGCCUUCCUGGGGCCCAGGUCAGGGACAUAACCAGGAAAAUACCAGGAAAAUACCAAAACUGGUGAGGCUCACUGGUUACUUUCCGUUGCUCAUAGUUCUGGUGGGCAGUGAGGAAAUUGCUCAGACAAGCCCACGGACAAUGAAAAGGGAUUUCAGGGGUUUAGGGUGCUUAGUUCAAGGUGCGGGAGCACAAAUAAUCUGUAUUCUCAGGGGCAGUGUGGGACUCGGAAUGGGCAUGGAAGGUGCAAACAAUGAAUAACUGGCUCAGAGGCUGGGGCCGAGCCAGAAACUUUGGGUUCUUUGACCAUGGGGUAGUUUACUUGGCCCCUCGCUUGCUGUCCAACCAUGGAAUCCACCUAUCUCAAAGGGGGCAACAAAUCUUAGCUCAGGAGCUAGUGGGGCUCAUCGAUAGAGCUUUAAACUAAUUAUGAUGGGAGAAGGGGACAGUACAGGCCUCACAGGAGAAGAGCCUAGGGGAAUGAUAUUUGAGCUCGGAGUGAGGCAAAUGACUCAGCUGAAGUGCAUCUUCCAAUGCACGCAGCAUGAGCAACAAGCAGGAGGAAUUGGAAGCGAUUGUGCAUCAGGCUAACUAUGAUUUAGCUGCUAUUACUGAAACAUGGUGGGACCGCUCCCCUGACUGGAGUGCUGUGAUGGAUGGCUACAAGCUUUUCAGAAGGGAUAGACAAGGAGGGAAGGGUGGUGGUGUGGCCCUUUAUGUUAAGACUGUUUUGAUGUUGAAGAGCUUGAGGUUGCAAAUGAUAACAUGGAGUGUCUAUGGGUGAGGAUCAGGGGGAAGGCCUGUAGGGGAGACAUCUUGGUUGGGGUCUGUUAUAGACUGCUGAAUCAGGAUGAGGAGAUGGACAAGGCGUACUACAAGCAGCUUGCGGAAGUCGUGCGAUCGCCAGCACUCAUUCUCGUGGGGGAUUUCAACUUCCCUGAUAUAUGUUGGAAAUAUAAUAUGGCUCAAAGAAGCAGUCCAAGAGGUUUCUAGAGUGUGUGGAAGAUAGCUUCCUUACACAGCUGGUACAAGAGCCUACCAGGGCUAGACCUGCUCUUUGCUAAUGGAGAGGGACUGGUGGGUGAUGCAAAGGUUGGGGACUGUCUAGGGCAGAGCAGCCAUGAAAUUGUAGAAUUCUCUAUUUUUGGAGAUGUCAAAAAGGUGACUACCAAAACUGCUAUCUUGAACUUACUUCAAGAGG